ACAUGCCUACAACAUAGUGUUAAUGCACCGGAUACCAUUAGAAAUCUGCAGUUAAGCUCGCUUAGGCUAGAGUAGUAUUGGGAUGGGUGAUCGCCUGGGAAGUCAUAGUGUUUUACAUGCC
rfam:Picea glauca, whole genome shotgun sequence.